rnacentral:rRNA from 1 species
UACGUAGGGUGCAAGCGUUAAUCGGAAUACUGGGCGUAAAGCGUGCGCAGGCGGUGAUGUAAGACAGUUGUGAAAUCCCCGGGCUCAACCUGGGAAUUGCGCUUGAAACUAGCGGGCUUGAGUGUGGCAGAGGGGGGUGGAAUUCCACGUGUAGCAGUGAAAUGCGUAGAUAUGCGGAGGAACACCGAUGGCGAAGGCAAUCCCCUGGGCCUGCACUGACGCUCAUGCACGAAAGCGUGGGGAGCAA